CCCUUAGAUGAUUUGGGCUGCACGCGCGCUACACUGACCCUAACAAUGAGCAACUGUCUGGCCUGAGAUGGCUGGGUAGCCUUUUCAACCCAUGUCAUGAUUGGGCUAGAUUUUUGUAAGUCUUGAUCUCUAACGAGGAAUCCCUAGUAUGCGUGAAUCAUCAAUCCAUGCAGAUUAUGUCCCUGCCCUUUGUACACACCGCCCGCCGCUCCUACUGAUUGGGUGAUCCGGUGAGCUGUUCGGCCAUAGCAAUGUUUCUUGAGCAGGGCAAUGAAUGUUUCACAAACCUUGCCACUUAGAGGAAGGAGAAGUCGUAACA
rnacentral:rRNA from 1 species